CAGCAGCCGCGGUAAUACGUAGGGUGCAAGCGUUAAUCGGAAUUACUGGGCGUAAAGCGUGCGCAGGCGGUUAUAUAAGACAGAUGUGUAAUCCCCGGGCUCAACCUGGGAACUGCAUUUGUGACUGUAUAGCUAGAGUACGGCAGAGGGGGAUGGAAUUCCGCGUGUAGCAGUGAAAUGCGUAGAUAUGCGGAGGAACACCGAUGGCGAAGGCAAUCCCCUGGGCCUGUACUGACGCUCAUGCACGAAAGCGUGGGGAGCAAACAGGAUUAGAUACACGAGUAGUCCCUGUCUCUUAUAC
rnacentral:rRNA from 1 species